rnacentral:rRNA from 1 species
CGGUGAAUACGUUCCCGGGCCUUGUACACACCGCCCGUCAAGUCACGAAAGUUGGUAACACCCGAAGCCGGUGGCCUAACCCGUUUGGGAGGGAGCCGUCGAAAGGUGGGACCGGCGAUUGGGACU